rnacentral:rRNA from 1 species
GGGGGAAUAUUGCACAAUGGGCGAAAGCCUGAUGCAGCGACGCCGCGUGAGGGAUGACGGCCUUCGGUUUGUAAACCUCUUUCAGUAGGGACGAAGCGCAAGUGACGGUACCUGCAGAAGAAGCACCGGCUAACUACGUGCCAGCAGCCGCGGUAAUACGUAGGGUGCGAGCGUUGUCCGGAAUUACUGGGCGUAAAGAGCUCGUAGGCGGUUUGUCACGUCGUCUGUGAAAUCCUAGGGCUUAACCCUGGACGUGCAGGCGAUACGGGCUGACUUGAGUACUUCAGGGGAGACUGGAAUUUCUGGUGUAGCGGUGGAAUGCACAGAUAUCAGGAAGAACACCGAUGGCGAAGGCAGGUCUCUGGGUAGUAACUGACGCUGAGGAGCGAAAGCAUGGGUAGCGAACAGG